CCUACGGGUGGCAGCAGUGAGGAAUAUUGGUCAAUGGACGCAAGUCUGAACCAGCCAAGCCGCGUGAAGGAAGAAGGCUCCAAGAGUUGUAAACUGCUUUUGUCAGAGGGCAAAAGCAGACACGAGAACCUGACUGAAAGUACUGUACGAAAAAGCAUCGGCUAACUCCGUGCCAGCAGCCGCGGUAAUACGGAGGAUUCAAGCGUUAUCCGGAUUUAUUGGGUUUAAAGGGUGCGUAGGCGGGCCGGUAAGUUAGCGGUGAAAUCCCGGGGGUUAACAUCGGAAUUGCCGUUGAUCUUGGACGUCUUGAGAGGUGUAGAGGUAUGCGGAAUG
rnacentral:rRNA from 1 species